UGCAAGGCUAUGAUGAGGAAUAGUAAAAGGGAAGAUUCUGAAAGAGAGGAAAACUCAGCGGCUGAAAGGUUUUCCAAGAUAAUUUCUUUUGAACCCGACCUCGGAGCUGCAAAUAAAAAGUUUGUCCGCAUGCCGGCGUUACAGGUAUUGAGUGUUCACAUGCAGCAUAUAUAUGUGUUCAAUUUGGGUGGUACCGCGAAUAACCUUCGUCCCUUUU
rnacentral:ncRNA from 1 species